UGUACCCAAGAAAGGAUGUGUCAUCGUAGUUAGCAAUGACAACAAUGAACUUAUCCCAACUCGUAUUGUCAUGGGAUGGAGAGUUUGCAUGGACUAUCAUAAGCUUUACAAAGUAACUUGUCAGGACCAUUUUCCUUUCCCGUUCAUCGAUAUAUUAGUAGGGAAAACCUUCUAUUGAUUAUUCGAUGGUUAUUCGAGGUAUAACCAGAUUGCCAGCC
rnacentral:lncRNA from 1 species